rnacentral:rRNA from 1 species
CCUACGGGUGGCAGCAGUGAGGAAUAUUGGUCAAUGGGCGGAAGCCUGAACCAGCCAAGUAGCGUGCAGGAUGACGGCCCUACGGGUUGUAAACUGCUUUUAUACGGGAAUAACGCGCCUUACGUGUAGGGCUUUGCAUGUACCGGAUGAAUAAGGAGCGGCUAAUUCCGUGCCAGCAGCCGCGGUAAUACGGAGGGUCCGGGCGUUAUCCGGAUUUAUUGGGUGUAAAGGGAGCGUAGGCCGCAUGUCAAGCGUGCUGUGAAAUGUCCGGGCUGAACCCGGGCCUUGCAGGGGGGACUGGCGUGCUUGAGUCCGCGGAGGGCAGGCGGAAUUCGUGGUGUAGCGGUGAAAUGCUUAGAUAUGACGAAGAACCCCGAUUGCGAAGACAGCUUGCUGCAGCGGAACUGACGCUGAUGCUCGAAAGCGCGGGUAUCGAACAGGAUUAGAUACCCUUGUAGUC